GCAUGUCUCAGUAUAAGCUUCUACACGGCGAAACUGCGAAUGGCUCAUUAAAACAGUUAUCGUUUACUUGGUGUUCACUCAUUACAUGGAUAACCAUGGUAAUUCUAGAGCUAAUACAUGCAUCCAGACCCAACUUCGCGGAAGGGUUGUGUUUAUUAGGUACAGAACCAACCCAGGUCCUACCUGGUUUUCUGGUGAUUCAUGAUAACCGAACGAAUCGUAUGGCUAUGCCGACGAUAAAUCAUUCAAGUUUCUGAAGUAUCAGCUUCCGACGGUAGGGUAUUGGCCUACCGUGGCAUUAACGCUUGACGGAGAAUUAGAGUUCGAUUCCGGAGAGGGAGCCUGAGAAACGGCUACCACAUCUAAGGAAGGCAGCAGGCGCGCAAAUUAUUUUUUUCUGACACAGGGAGGUAGUGACAAGAAAUAACAAUACAGGGCAUCCAUGUCUUGUAAUUGGAAUGAAUAGAAUUUAAAUCCCUUUAUGAGUAUCGAUUGGAGGGGAAGUCUGGUGCCAGCAGCCGCGGUAAUUCCAGCUCCAAUAGCGUAUAUUAAAGUUGUUGCGGUUAAAAAGCUCGUAGUUGGAUUUCUGCUGAGGACGAUCGGUCCGCCCUCUGGGUGAGUAUCUGACUCGGCCUUGGCAUCUUCUUGGGGAACGUAGCUGCACUUGACUGUGUGGUGCGGUAUCCAGGACUUUUACUUUGAGGAAAUUAGAGUGUUUCAAGCAGGCGCCCGCCUUGAAUACAUUAGCAUGGAAUAAUAGGAUAGGACCGCCGUUCUAUUUUGUUGGUUUCUAGAGCGGAGGUAAUGAUUAAUAGGGAUAGUUGGGGGCAUUCGUAUUU
rnacentral:rRNA from 1 species